UACGUAGGAUCCGAGCGUUGUCCGGAUUUACUGGGUGUAAAGGGUGCGCAGGCGGACUGGUAAGUCAGAGGUGAAAUCUCGUCGCUUAACGACGAAACUGCCUUUGAUACUAUCAGUCUUGAAUCCGGUAGAGAUCUGUGGAAUUCCGAGUGUAGCAGUGAAAUGUGUAGAUAUUCGGAAGAACACCAGUGGCGAAGGCAGCAGAUUGGGCCGGUAUUGACGCUGAGACGCGAAAGCGUGGGGAGCAAACAGG
rnacentral:rRNA from 1 species